rnacentral:rRNA from 1 species
UACGUAGGGUGCGAGCGUUAAUCGGAAUUACUGGGCGUAAAGCGUGCGCAGGCGGUUUUGUAAGCCAGGUGUGAAAUCCCCGGGCUCAACCUGGGAAUGGCAUUUGGGACUGCAAGGCUGGAGUGCGGCAGAGGAGACUGGAAUUCCUGGUGUAGCAGUGAAAUGCGUAGAUAUCAGGAGGAAUACCGGUGGCGAAGGCGGGUCUCUGGGCAGUAACUGACGCUGAGGAGCGAAAGCGUGGGGAGCGAACAGG